UAUGCUUCUCCUAAAGACUAAGCCAUGCAUGCCUUCGAAUAAGAGGAAGCAAUUCUCUCUGAAUCUGCGAACGGCUCCGCAAACCAGUUGUAAACUAGAGCAAGCAAGCCCCUUGCCCGCCUGUAAAAGGGUAGGCUUGGUGGCGAUAAGGCAUAUCCCUGGUAAUUCUGAGGCUAAUACAUGAGCGUAAACCCGACUUGACUGGCGUACCACCCUUACGGGAUGAUAUGGCUGGGAUAUGAGGGGGCGUGCGAUUGUUUGCUUAGGACUAAAACCGGGACGGGGCGCACGCUUGGACCGCGCUAAAAAGGGAUCGGAUCUCGCUAACCCUCCGGGGACGGCUUGGUCUUGCCCCAGCGGCUCUUGCUGUGUGCUUCUGACCUAUCAACUAGAUGGCAGCGUAACGGACAUGCCAUGGUUACAACGGGUACAGAGGAUUAGGGUUCGAUCCUGGAGAGUGGGCCUGAGAGAUUGCUCAUACUUCUAAGGAAGGCAGCAGGCGCGCAACGUUCCCCUUGGGCAAUGCCCGAGGGCGUUAGGGGACAUAUGAAUGCCUGCCCAUUGGGUGGGCAAUUCAAAUGGGUCUGUUCUAAACAGGCUCUCGAGUAACAAUUAGAGGA
rnacentral:rRNA from 1 species